GCAUCUUUAGCUCAGUUGGAUAGAGCAACAGCCUUCUAAGCUGAUGGCCAGGGGUUCAAUUCCCUUAAGAUGUU